ACGCACAUUUUAGCCUCCCUCAUUUUUAUCCCAGACUCCAGUACCCAUUUUGAAUUUCUUUCCCCUCCCUCGCGUUGUGCCCCUACCCGACGAAUUCUUUUCCCCUCUCUCGCGUUGUGCCCGUCUUCGCCCCUCCGACCACUGUCUAGAUCUGUCGAUGAAGUUGACCGACUGAACAAACUCACACCCAGAAGAGAAAGGACCCAUAUUGGAUGGAAGGGAACGACGGCUUGAGGAGAGACUCCUCAGAAAUCACUCCUGAGUAAUUUUCUUUUGUGGGACCAGUAUUAAGAAAACAAAUCGAAUCUUUCUGCUCUUGGUAUUGCAUCUUUUUCCUUCUUCUUCAUUGCUCUUGUAUGAUGCUUUCAGUAAAGCAAAUUGAAUGAUUUAAAUAAAAAAAAAAAUAGUAGUACAAAUUGCGAAGCUUUGGUA